AGCAGCCGCGGUAAUUCCAGCUCCAAUAGCGUAUAUUAAAGUUGUUGCAGUUAAAAGCUCGUAGUUGAAUUUCGAGACCGGUUUAUUGGUCGUGCUUUUGUACGUACUGGUAUUAUUGGUUUCUCCUUUCUGGCGAAUCUUAAUGCCAUUAAUUUGGUGUUUUGGGGAAUCAGGACUGUUACUUUGAAAAAUUAGAGUGUUUAAAGCAGGCUCACGCUUGAAUACAUUAGCAUGGAAUAACGGAAUAGGACGUUUGAUUCUAUUUUGUUGGUUUCUAGGAUCGACGUAAUGAUUAAUAGGGAUAGUUGGGGCAUUAGUAUUCAAUUGUCAGAGGUGAAAUUCUUGGAUUUAUUGAAGACUAACUACUGCGAAAGCAUUUGCCAAGGAUGUUUUCAUUAAUCAAGAACGAAAGUUAGGGGAUCGAAGACGAUCAGAUACCGUCGUAGUCUUAACCAUAAACUAUGCCGACUAGGGAUCGGAUGAUGUUAAUUUUAAUGACUCAUUCGGCGCCUUACGGGAA
rnacentral:misc_RNA from 1 species